rnacentral:lncRNA from 1 species
AUUUCUAACGGGGCCGAGGAAGGAGAAAAGAGCAGGAGUCGUCACUCGUGUCCAGAUACGGAGGCGGUGUACCAGCACCGCAGGUAGCAAAGCACCUAGAAACACGUUUUGUUCUGCUUUGGAAAUUAGAUUUUUGCCUAUAUAACAGCAGCCAGAGGAAUGUAAUUCAUAUUUGAUUUUAUGUCCUGAAAAAAAAGUCUUUUGCCUUUCAAAUAAAAGCAGAAAGUUUACAAUAGAAGUUUACGCUUGUGAAAGAACUGGUCAAACAAAUGGAUUUUACAGAGGCUUACGCGGACACGUGCUCUACAGUUGGACUUGCUGCCAGGGAAGGCAAUGUUAAAGUCUUAAGGAAACUGCUCAAAAAGGGCCGAAGUGUCGAUGUUGCUGAUAACAGGGGAUGGAUGCCAAUUCAUGAAGCAGCUUAUCACAACUCUGUAGAAUGUUUGCAAAUGUUAAUUAAUGCAGAUUCAUCUGAAAACUACAUUAAGAUGAAGACCUUUGAAGGUUUCUGUGCUUUGCAUCUCGCUGCAAGUCAAGGACAUUGGAAAAUCGUACAGAUUCUUUUAGAAGCUGGGGCAGAUCCUAAUGCAACUACUUUAGAAGAAACGACACCAUUGUUUUUA